rnacentral:rRNA from 1 species
UGAAGAAGGUUUUCGGAUCGUAAAACUCUGUUGUUAGAGAAGAACAAGGACGUUAGUAACUGAACGUCCCCUGACGGUAUCUAACCAGAAAGCCACGGCUAACUACGUGCCAGCAGCCGCGGUAAUACGUAGGUGGCAAGCGUUGUCCGGAUUUAUUGGGCGUAAAGCGAGCGCAUGCGGUUCCUUAAGUCUGAUGUGAAAGCCCCCGGCUCAACCGGGGAGGGUCAUUGGGACCUGGGAGACUUGAGUGCAGAUGAGGAAGGUGGAAUUCCAUGUGUAGCGGUGAAAUGCGUAGAUAUAUGGAGGAACACCAGUGGCGAAGGCGGCUCUCUGGUCUGUAACUGACGCUGAGGCUCGAAAGAGCAGCU